CAAUCCACAAUCCACCUCCCUCCGCCUCCCACAGUGCUGGGAUUACAGGCAUGAGCCACCACGCUGGGUCUGAUUUUCUUUAAUUGUAGACAUUAACCCGUUUUGAGACAUUUACACUGAAUAAGAGCAUAGCAGGGUCC